GAACGAGAAAAAGGACAUGUGCUCACAGCCUGGCCUUGGCCAGCAUGCAGCCAGAGGACAGGAGAUCCUUCCUCCUGAGUGGGUGUGGGGAAGAGUCCUUGCCCAGGAGGCUUAGAGGCUAAGAGGAGGGGGAAGGGAAGGCCUUUGGGGCGGAGCUGCCCGGACUGUCAGGAGGGUCAGAUGUGUGCAGCAGUUACCUCGAAGCAGUCCCCAAAGUCGAUGUGCAGGAUCUUCCCGCUCAGCCGGUCCAGCAUCAGGCCUAAAAUGUAUCCAACCAUUGACAUGACGGCUAAGGAGCGGGUAUAGUUGGUUCUUCGGUCAAACCACACCUACAGCAUGAGAGCACACGUGAGUCAGCAUUCUAUAAAUCAGCAGUUUCAACAUAGUUGAAGAGGACAGCUCUUCUCUAGAUUCUACAUAGCCAGUUGGAAUGAAUAAUGGAACGAAGACCCCACUCCUAAUUAAGCAGAGAAGAGUCUCUCAGAGGACAACCGUGUGACUGGUUCUCCUUCCUCCAUAGACGGGCACAGCAGCAGGUGAGACACCAGGCAAUCAUUCCGGAAGAAAGCAGGCAAUCGCUUGUCCUAAGGUUUUCAGUGUGAGUGAAGCCAGACGCACAGGAUGAGUUAGCAAGCUCACAAGGCCCUCUGCGGACAGCCGGCCCAGAUGGGAGCCUCAAGAGCCUACCUGUGGU